rnacentral:rRNA from 1 species
GAUUGAACGCUGGCGGCAUGCUUUACACAUGCAAGUCGAACGGUAACAGGCCUUCGGGUGCUGACGAGUGGCGAACGGGUGAGUAAUGCAUCGGAACGUACCCAGAGGUGGGGGAUAACGCAGCGAAAGCUGUGCUAAUACCGCAUGUGAUCUGAGGAUGAAAGCGGGGGACCGAGCAGCAAUGUUUGGCCUCGCGCCUUUGGAGCGGCCGAUGUCGGAUUAGCUAGUUGGUGGGGUAAAGGCCUACCAAGGCGACGAUCCGUAGCUGGUCUGAGAGGACGACCAGCCACACUGGGACUGAGACACGGCCCAGACUCCUACGGGAGGCAGCAGUGGGGAAUUUUGGACAAUGGGCGCAAGCCUGAUCCAGCAAUGCCGCGUGCGGGAAGAAGGCCUUCGGGUUGUAAACCGCUUUUGGCAGGAACGAAACGGUGUCCGCUAAUACCGGGCGCUAAUGACGGUACCUGCAGAAUAAGCACCGGCUAACUACGUG